rnacentral:rRNA from 1 species
CUACGGGGCGCUCCAGUGGGGAAUAUUGCACAAUGGAGGAAACUCUGAUGCAGCAACGCCGCGUGGAGGAUGACACUUUUCGGAGCGUAAACUCCUUUUAUAUAGGAAGAAGAUGACGGUACUAUAUGAAUAAGCGCCGGCUAACUCCGUGCCAGCAGCCGCGGUAAUACGGAGGGCGCAAGCGUUACUCGGAAUCACUGGGCGUAAAGAGCGUGUAGGCGGAUUAAAAAGUCAGAAGUGAAAUCCUAUAGCUUAACUAUAGAACUGCUUCUGAAACUCUUAAUCUAGAAUAUGGGAGAGGUAGAUGGAAUUUCUGGUGUAGGGGUAAAAUCCGUAGAGAUCAGAAGGAAUACCGAUUGCGAAGGCGAUCUACUAGAACAUUAUUGACGCUGAGACGCGAAAGCGUGGGGAGAAAACAGGAUUAGAUACCCGGGUAGUC